AUUGAACGCUAGCGGGAUGCCUUACACAUGCAAGUCGAACGGAGUGGCGAACGGGUGAGUAAUGUAUCGGAACGUGCCCAGCAGCGGGGGAUAACUACGCGAAAGCGUAGCUAAUACCGCAUACUUUUGGCGCUGCCGAUUACGGAUUAGCUAGUUGGUGGGGUAACGGCUUACCAAGGCGACGAUCCGUAGCUGGGUUGAGAGGGCGACCAGCCACACUGGGACUGAGACACGGCCCAGACUCCUACGGGAGGCAGCAGUGGGGAAUUUUGGGCAAUGGGGGAAACCCUGAUCCAGCCAUCCCGCGUGUGCGAUGAAGGCCUUCGGAUUGUAAAGCACUUUUGUCAGGAAAGCGGUACCUGCAGAAUAAGCACCGGCUAACUACGUGCCAGCAGCCGCGGUAAUUC
rnacentral:rRNA from 1 species